GGGGAUUUGGCUCAGUGGUAGAGUGCUUGCCUAGCGAGCACAAGGCCCUGGGUUCGGUCCCCAGCUCCG
rnacentral:tRNA from 1 species